ensembl:lncRNA
UGAUUCGUUGGCUGAUUUUAGUCACUAAAGAUGGUUGAGAUCAAGUUACCAUUAACAUUGGAGUGAGUAAAUUAUCCUAUUAGAAUAUUUAGAAUUUGUCAUUUUGGGAGUAGUUAACACACAUUUGUCUGAUCCGUUUUUUUUCAUAUUUAUUUAUUCAUCUAUCUAAACUGUAGGAAUGUUGAAGGGCUGCAGCUCGCAUGGUGCAGCGUGGCGGUUCAUUGAGUUUCUGAUUGACAGCGUGGGAGAGAAGAUGUCGUCUGUCGCCCAGCAGCAGAGAGAACGAACAGACAUUCGUAACUCUGGAGUUGCACUUGACUGCGUCAUUAGAGACGCUCACACGUCCCGAUGAACUUGGGGUUUGAAUUUGCUUUAUUUGUAGAGAAUUGAACUUGUUUGUGCUUUGAGUUGCCUGACAUCAUUUUUUAGAAGCAUUCAUGUUUUAAUCAAAAUGUUCCAUAUCGGAAACAUGUUCAUUGACUAAAUAUUCUCUUCUUCUUCCGCCUGAUGUCUGAUUACAGGAGGAAGUGAGUCAACAAUUGAAAUCAGGCUUAAAAUGUCGACUGAAACCUUGGUGUGUCAUUAAAUACACAAACGCUCAUUAACUCAAGAUCAUUGUUGUUUCACUUCAUUCAAGUCAACGAGUAAUAAAGAACAUGUGAUUCUCUUUGGUCUGAAGAAAACAAGACGGAUUCAUUUGGUUUUAUUUCUAUUAAAAUUUAUUUUCAUUAAAAUAAUAAACAGACGACAUAUUUAACAAUAAUAAUAACACAAUCAUUGGGAAAACAUCUGAAGCAGUUCCUGAGAAGAGAGAAAAGAAGAAAAGUUAUUAACAUGUUAAUGUUGUUAGUGUGUCUGUGUGUACAUCUAAUUGUUAGUGUGUCUGUGUGUACAUCUAAAUGUUAGUGUGUCUGUGUGUACAUCUAAAUAUUAUUAUGUCUUUGUGUACAUCUAAAUAUUAGUGUGUGUCUUUGUUUAGUACCAAAUGUUAGUGUGUCUGUGUGUACAUCUAAAUGUUAGUGUGUCCCGAUGACGUGGCGUCCUGAUGGCGUCCUGUUGGUCUGCAGACAAGGAGAAGAGACGUGAGGAGGAUCAUCAGGAUGUGUCCGUGUGUACAUCUAAUUGUUAUUGUGUCUUUGUGUACAUCUAAAUAUUAGUGUGUGUCUUUGUUUAGAACCAAAUGAUAGUGUGUCUGUGUGUAUAUCUAAUUGUUAUUGUGUCUUUGUGUACAUCUAAAUAUUAGUGUGUCAUUGUUUAGAACCAAAUGAUAGUGUGUCUGUGUGUACAUCUAAUUGUUAUUGUGUCUUUGUGUACAUCUAAAUAUUAGUGUGUGUCAUUGUUUAGAACCAAAUGAUAGUGUGUCUGUGUGUACAUCUAAUUGUUAGGCGUCCUGAUGGCGUCCCGAUGACGUCCCGAUGACGUGGUGUCCUGAUGGCAUCCCGAUGACGUGGUGUCCUGAUGGCGUCCCGAUGACGUGGCGUCCUGAUGGCGUCCUGUUGGUCUGCAGACAAGGAGAAGAGACGUGAGGAGGAUCAUCAGGAUGUGUCUGUGUGUACAUCUAAUUGUUAGUGUGUCUGUGUGUAGAUCUAAAUGUUAGUGUGUGUCUUUGUUUAGAACCAAAUGUUAGUGUGUCUGUGUGUACAUCUAAUUGUUAGUGUGUCUGUGUGUGGAUCUAAUUGUUAUUGUCUUUGUGUACAUCUAAAUAUUAGUGUGUGUCUUUGUUUAGAACCAAAUGUUAGUGUGUCUGUGUGUACAUCUAAUUGUUAGUGUGUCUGUGUGUGGAUCUAAUUGUUAGUGUGUCUGUGCGUACAUCUAAUUGUUAUUGUCUUUGUGUACAUCUAAAUAUUAGUGUGUGUCUUUGUUUAGAACCAAAUGUUAGUGUGUCUGUGUGUACAUCUAAUUGUUAGUGUGUCUGUGUGUACAUCUAAAUAUUAAUGUGUCUUUGUGUACAUCUAAAUGUUAGUGUGUGUCUUUGUUUAGAACCAAAUGUUAAUGUGUCUGUGAGUACAUCUGUGUGUGUGUGUGUGUGUGUGUGUGUGUGUGUGUAUCUAAUUGUUAGUGUGUCCGUGUGUACAUCUAAUUGUUAGUGUGUCUGUGUGUAGAUCUAAUUGUUAGUGUGUCUGUGUGUACAUCUAAAUAUUAAUGUGUCUUUGUGUACAUCUAAAUGUUAGUGUGUGUCUUUGUUUAGAACCAAAUGUUAGUGUGUCUGUGUGUACAUCUAAUUGUUAGUGUGUCUGUGUGUGGAUCUAAUUGUUAGUGUCUGUGUGUACAUCUAAUUGUUAUGUCUUUGUGUACAUCUAAUAAAGUGUAUCUAAGUGUAUGUCAUGCGUAGAUCUGGAUUUGCUCCUGAGGGGUUGACGUGGCGUCUGAUGGCGUCCCGUUGGUCUGCAGACAAGGAGAAGAGACGUGAGCAGGAUCAUCAGGAUGUGAGACAAGAUUCAUAGAUCCAAUUAUUUUAAUUUGAUGCACAUUUUAAUUAUUUCAUGUUUGUAUGGAUGUGUAAAUCUACAUUAUAUAUUUGUGGUUGUUAAACUGUAUUUCUGUAUUUGCUUUUUAUGUUUAGCUAGUCUCUGUGCAUACCAAUAUGUUAGUGCGUCUCUGUGUAAGUACUUUUUACAUUACAUUACAUUUCAUUUAGCUGACGCUUUUAUCCAAAGCGACUUACAAUAAGUGCAUUCAACCAUAGGGUACAAACUCAGAAGUGCAAUUUCCUCAAAUAACUUUUAUAUGUUAGUGCGUCUCUGUGUAAGUACUUUUAUAUGUUAAUGCGUCUCUGUGUACAUCUACAUGACAAUAGCAGGAGUCAGAGGUUUAUCUCAAGGUAUUAGCUCUAAAUCACAGCCUUCUCCACCCGAUAGACCAAUACAUCAUUCACAGCAGUAAGGCUGCAGUCUGUCUGGAUUCCUCACUUACCUUGAGCUCUGUUAAGUGCAGCAGAACGCGUCUUCGUCCCCUCCACAGACUCCUGAGGCAUUACAUGGUUGCUUUCUGCAAGUGUAGGUCCGGAAAACUUCAGUGUGUAGAUGCGAGGUUUGAAACUGACUGACUGGAUGUGCAACAGACUGUGUUCUUAUGCUGUGGUGAACGGAGCAUAGAACAUGAACAUGGAACAUGGAACGUGGAGAAAUGUUCCAUCAUGAUGUAACGUCUCUAUGGUUACAGUGAAGGUAUCUACAAUAUGCAACUGAGCCUU